rnacentral:rRNA from 1 species
UUAACGCUGAGGUGUGAUGACGAGGCACUACGGUGCUGAAGUAACAAAUGCCCUGCUUCCAGGAAAAGCCUCUAAGCAUCAGGUAACACGAAAUCGUACCCCAAACCGACACAGGUGGUCAGGUAGAGAAUACCAAGGCGCUUGAGAGAACUCGGGUGAAGGAACUAGGCAAAAUGGUGCCGUAACUUCGGGAGAAGGCACGCUGAUAUGUAGGUGAAGUGGUUUACCCAUGGAGCUGAAAUCAGUCGAAGAUACCAGCUGGCUGCAACUGUUUAUUAAAAACACAGCACUGUGCAAACACGAAAGUGGACGUAUACGGUGUGACGCCUGCCCGGUGCCGGAAGGUUAAUUGAUGGGGUUAUCCGUAAGGAGAAGCUCUUGAUCGAAGCCCCGGUAAACGGCGGCCGUAACUAUAACGGUCCUAAGGUAGCGAAAUUCCUUGUCGGGUAAGUUCCGACCUGCACGAAUGGCGUAAUGAUGGCCAGGCUGUCUCCACCCGAGACUCAGUGAAAUUGAACUCGCUGUGAAGAUGCAGUGUACCCGCGGCAAGACGGAAAGACCCCGUGAACCUUUACUAUAGCUUGACACUGAACACUGGUCCUUGAUGUGUAGGAUAGGUGGGAGGCUUUGAAGUGUGGACGCCAGUCUGCAUGGAGCCAUCCUUGAAAUACCACCCUUUAAUGGCUGGUGUUCUAACGUAGACCCGUGAUCCGGGUUGCGGACAGUGUCUGGUGGGUAGUUUGACUGGGGCGGUCUCCUCCUAAAGAGUAACGGAGGAGCACGAAGGUUAGCUAAUCCUGGUCGGACAUCAGGAGGUUAGUGCAAAGGCAUAAGCUAGCUUGACUGCGAGAGUGACGGCUCGAGCAGGUGCGAAAGCAGGUCUUAGUGAUCCGGUGGUUCUGAAUGGAAGGGCCAUCGCUCAACGGAUAAAAGGUACUCCGGGGAUAACAGGCUGAUACCGCCCAAGAGUUCAUAUCGACGGCGGUGUUUGGCACCUCGAUGUCGGCUCAUCACAUCCUGGGGCUGAAGUAGGUCCCAAGGGUAUGGCUGUUCGCCAUUUAAAGUGGUACGCGAGCUGGGUUUAGAACGUCGUGAGACAGUUCGGUCCCUAUCUGCCGUGGGCGCUGGAGAAUUGAGGGGGGCUGCUCCUAGUACGAGAGGACCGGAGUGGACGCAUCACUGGUGUUCGGGUUGUCAUGCCAAUGGCAUUGCCCGGUAGCUAAAUGCGGAAGAGAUAAGUGCUGAAAGCAUCUAAGCACGAAACUUGCCCCGAGAUGAGUUCUCCCUGACUCCUUGAGAGUCCUGAAGGAACGUUGAAGACGACGACGUUGAUAGGUCGGGUGUGUAAGUGUAGCGAUACAUUGAGCUAACCGAUACUAAUGAACCGUGAGGCUUAACCUU